rnacentral:lncRNA from 1 species
AGGCACCGGUUCUAAAAUGGCAGUUGGGUAUGUAAAAUGGUGAUGUUUUAGAGAGAGAUAGAACGCUUGAAUUGAAGAGACUUGACAGCAUGAUCUAAAAAUUUUAUGAGAUGGCAGUUGUAUUUUGUACCUUUUAAGACGUGAAUUAAAGGACGCACAGAACUACUAACCUUUGUGUACAAGAACUGGUUCUUGAGACGCAUGUUCGUCUUCAGGCCCCCCUUUGUUUUUUUCAAAAAAACUCUUUUAAUAGUCAUGUAUUGCAUCUGCUGCUUCUAUUCUC